GGGUUGUGAGGUUAAGCGACUAAGCGUACACGGUGGAUGCCCUGGCAGUCAGAGGCGAUGAAGGACGUGCUAAUCUGCGAUAAGCGUCGGUAAGGUGAUAUGAACCGUUAUAACCGGCGAUUUCCGAAUGGGGAAACCCAGUGUGUUUCGACACACUAUCAUUAACUGAAUCCAUAGGUUAAUGAGGCGAACCGGGGGAACUGAAACAUCUAAGUACCCCGAGGAAAAGAAAUCAACCGAGAUUCCCCCAGUAGCGGCGAGCGAACGGGGAGCAGCCCAGAGCCUGAAUCAGUGUGUGUGUUAGUGGAAGCGUCUGGAAAGGCGCGCGAUACAGGGUGACAGCCCCGUACACAAAAAUGCACAUGCUGUGAGCUCGAUGAGUAGGGCGGGACACGUGGUAUCCUGUCUGAAUAUGGGGGGACCAUCCUCCAAGGCUAAAUACUCCUGACUGACCGAUAGUGAACCAGUACCGUGAGGGAAAGGCGAAAAGAACCCCGGCGAGGGGAGUGAAAAAGAACCUGAAACCGUGUACGUACAAGCAGUGGGAGCACGCUUAGGCGUGUGACUGCGUACCUUUUGUAUAAUGGGUCAGCGACUUAUAUUCUGUAGCAAGGUUAACCGAAUAGGGGAGCCGAAGGGAAACCGAGUCUUAACUGGGCGUUAAGUUGCAGGGUAUAGACCCGAAACCCGGUGAUCUAGCCAUGGGCAGGUUGAAGGUUGGGUAACACUAACUGGAGGACCGAACCGACUAAUGUUGAAAAAUUAGCGGAUGACUUGUGGCUGGGGGUGAAAGGCCAAUCAAACCGGGAGAUAGCUGGUUCUCCCCGAAAGCUAUUUAGGUAGCGCCUCGUGAAUUCAUCUCCGGGGGUAGAGCACUGUUUCGGCAAGGGGGUCAUCCCGACUUACCAACCCGAUGCAAACUGCGAAUACCGGAGAAUGUUAUCACGGGAGACACACGGCGGGUGCUAACGUCCGUCGUGAAGAGGGAAACAACCCAGACCGCCAGCUAAGGUCCCAAAGUCAUGGUUAAGUGGGAAACGAUGUGGGAAGGCCCAGACAGCCAGGAUGUUGGCUUAGAAGCAGCCAUCAUUUAAAGAAAGCGUAAUAGCUCACUGGUCGAGUCGGCCUGCGCGGAAGAUGUAACGGGGCUAAACCAUGCACCGAAGCUGCGGCAGCGACACUGUGUGUUGUUGGGUAGGGGAGCGUUCUGUAAGCCUGUGAAGGUGUGCUGUGAGGCAUGCUGGAGGUAUCAGAAGUGCGAAUGCUGACAUAAGUAACGAUAAAGCGGGUGAAAAGCCCGCUCGCCGGAAGACCAAGGGUUCCUGUCCAACGUUAAUCGGGGCAGGGUGAGUCGACCCCUAAGGCGAGGCCGAAAGGCGUAGUCGAUGGGAAACAGGUUAAUAUUCCUGUACUUGGUGUUACUGCGAAGGGGGGACGGAGAAGGCUAUGUUGGCCGGGCGACGGUUGUCCCGGUUUAAGCGUGUAGGCUGGUUUUCCAGGCAAAUCCGGAAAAUCAAGGCUGAGGCGUGAUGACGAGGCACUACGGUGCUGAAGCAACAAAUGCCCUGCUUCCAGGAAAAGCCUCUAAGCAUCAGGUAACAUCAAAUCGUACCCCAAACCGACACAGGUGGUCAGGUAGAGAAUACCAAGGCGCUUGAGAGAACUCGGGUGAAGGAACUAGGCAAAAUGGUGCCGUAACUUCGGGAGAAGGCACGCUGAUAUGUAGGUGAAGCGACUUGCUCGUGGAGCUGAAAUCAGUCGAAGAUACCAGCUGGCUGCAACUGUUUAUUAAAAACACAGCACUGUGCAAACACGAAAGUGGACGUAUACGGUGUGACGCCUGCCCGGUGCCGGAAGGUUAAUUGAUGGGGUCAGCGCAAGCGAAGCUCUUGAUCGAAGCCCCGGUAAACGGCGGCCGUAACUAUAACGGUCCUAAGGUAGCGAAAUUCCUUGUCGGGUAAGUUCCGACCUGCACGAAUGGCGUAAUGAUGGCCAGGCUGUCUCCACCCGAGACUCAGUGAAAUUGAACUCGCUGUGAAGAUGCAGUGUACCCGCGGCAAGACGGAAAGACCCCGUGAACCUUUACUAUAGCUUGACACUGAACAUUGAGCCUUGAUGUGUAGGAUAGGUGGGAGGCUUAGAAGUGUGGACGCCAGUCUGCAUGGAGCCGACCUUGAAAUACCACCCUUUAAUGUUUGAUGUUCUAACGUUGACCCGUAAUCCGGGUUGCGGACAGUGUCUGGUGGGUAGUUUGACUGGGGCGGUCUCCUCCUAAAGAGUAACGGAGGAGCACGAAGGUUGGCUAAUCCUGGUCGGACAUCAGGAGGUUAGUGCAAUGGCAUAAGCCAGCUUGACUGCGAGCGUGACGGCGCGAGCAGGUGCGAAAGCAGGUCAUAGUGAUCCGGUGGUUCUGAAUGGAAGGGCCAUCGCUCAACGGAUAAAAGGUACUCCGGGGAUAACAGGCUGAUACCGCCCAAGAGUUCAUAUCGACGGCGGUGUUUGGCACCUCGAUGUCGGCUCAUCACAUCCUGGGGCUGAAGUAGGUCCCAAGGGUAUGGCUGUUCGCCAUUUAAAGUGGUACGCGAGCUGGGUUUAGAACGUCGUGAGACAGUUCGGUCCCUAUCUGCCGUGGGCGCUGGAGAACUGAGGGGGGCUGCUCCUAGUACGAGAGGACCGGAGUGGACGCAUCACUGGUGUUCGGGUUGUCAUGCCAAUGGCACUGCCCGGUAGCUAAAUGCGGAAGAGAUAAGUGCUGAAAGCAUCUAAGCACGAAACUUGCCCCGAGAUGAGUUCUCCCUGACCCUUUAAGGGUCCUGAAGGAACGUUGAAGACGACGACGUUGAUAGGCCGGGUGUGUAAGCGCAGCGAUGCGUUGAGCUAACCGGUACUAAUGAACCGUGAGGCUUAACCUUACAACGCCGAAG
rnacentral:rRNA from 1 species